UGCAGUCGAACGGCAGCGGGGGUAGCUUGCUACCUGCCGGCGAGUGGCGAACGGGUGAGUAAUACAUCGGAACGUGCCCUGUAGUGGGGGAUAACUAGUCGAAAGACUAGCUAAUACCGCAUACGACCUGAGGGUGAAAGUGGGGGACCGCAAGGCCUCAUGCUAUAGGAGCGGCCGAUGUCUGAUUAGCUAGUUGGUGGGGUAAAGGCCCACCAAGGCGACGAUCAGUAGCUGGUCUGAGAGGACGAUCAGCCACACUGGGACUGAGACACGGCCCAGACUCCUACGGGAGGCAGCAGUGGGGAAUUUUGGACAAUGGGGGCAACCCUGAUCCAGCAAUGCCGCGUGUGUGAAGAAGGCCUUCGGGUUGUAAAGCACUUUUGUCCGGAAAGAAAUCGCACUGGUUAAUACCUGGUGUGGAUGACGGUACCGGAAGAAUAAGGACCGGCUAACUACGUGCCAGCAGCCGCGGUAAUACGUAGGGUCCAAGCGUUAAUCGGAAUUACUGGGCGUAAAGCGUGCGCAGGCGGUUGUGCAAGACCGAUGUGAAAUCCCCGGGCUUAACCUGGGAAUUGCAUUGGUGACUGCACGGCUAGAGUGUGUCAGAGGGAGGUAGAAUUCCACGUGUAGCAGUGAAAUGCGUAGAGAUGUGGAGGAAUACCGAUGGCGAAGGCAGCCUCCUGGGAUAACACUGACGCUCAUGCACGAAAGCGUGGGGGAGCAAACAGGAUUAGAUACCCUGGUAGUCCACGCCCUAAACGAUGUCAACUAGUUGUUGGGGAUUCAUUUCCUUAGUAACGUAGCUAACGCGUGAAGUUGACCGCCUGGGGAGUACGGUCGCAAGAUUAAAACUCAAAGGAAUUGACGGGGACCCGCACAAGCGGUGGAUGAUGUGGAUUAAUUCGAUGCAACGCGAAAAACCUUACCUACCCUUGACAUGCCACUAACGAAGCAGAGAUGCAUUAGGUGCUCGAAAGAGAAAGUGGACACAGGUGCUGCAUGGCUGUCGUCAGCUCGUGUCGUGAGAUGUUGGGUUAAGUCCCGCAACGAGCGCAACCCUUGUCUCUAGUUGCUACGAAAGGGCACUCUAGAGAGACUGCCGGUGACAAACCGGAGGAAGGUGGGGAUGACGUCAAGUCCUCAUGGCCCUUAUGGGUAGGGCUUCACACGUCAUACAAUGGUGCAUACAGAGGGUUGCCAAGCCGCGAGGUGGAGCUAAUCCCAGAAAAUGCAUCGUAGUCCGGAUCGUAGUCUGCAACUCGACUACGUGAAGCUGGAAUCGCUAGUAAUCGCGGAUCAGCAUGCCGCGGUGAAUACGUUCCCGGGUCUUGUACACACCGCCCGUCACACCAUGGGAGUGGGCUUUACCAGAAGUAGUUAGCCUAACCGCAAGGAGGGCGAUAG
rnacentral:rRNA from 1 species